GGAAGGAGGAGUUGGAGGUCAUGCUGUUCGGACGACUGGUAUCCUUUAGGUCCUCGCUUCCUUGGAGGGACGGCUGUUUCUGUGAGGUGGAGUUUUUGUCUCUUGUUUAUGGUUUAACUGGAGCAACAAUGAAUGAAUGAAGAAUUACUUACCUUGAGUUUGCCCACAAGUUGCUGGUUUUCCAAAGACCCGUCACCGUCUGCUCCACUGUCUGCUUCAAGUCUUCAAUUGUCUCCAGCAACAUGUUUCUUUCCUCGUGUAGCUUCUCGACCUCCUCUCUAACUUCAUCCUCCUUCGAAAUAAGAAAGGGGGAGGAGAGAGAGGAGUGGGGGAUGGUGGGAAAGUGGAGCAAAAGAUGGAUAAGACAAGGAAGAUAAAGAAAAACGGGAAAGGCAAGAAUUUUGCUGACUGGUAAAGACGUGCUACUGUAUGAUAAGGAUGAUUAUAUACAAAACUGUUAUCCAGCAGUGUCAUUCAUGUAAACAUUUUUUUUACAUGUUUUCAGUCAACAUCUCACAAUGAGGACACAUUUUUACAAUCCUAGAUGGACAAAUUCCAGGUAAUGGCUAAUGCAGUUUUCACCCAUGCUUAUGAUGCUGCCUGGCAAGUCAACUCGUUUAACUAUGAAUAAAAUACCCAUCAUGUUGUGUUGACUUGAACAUGUGAGUGUGGGACGGCUGCUGGACUGAUAAUAUUUCAGAUGUUAGUUGUCCGUUUGGUCAGUUUAUUAUACAUAGUACUCUUUUUGCACAGAUGACAGAGUCUAUGUAGAUUUUUUUUUAUUUUGUAGAUCUGUAAAACUUGAAAGCUGAAAGAAAAGCUGAAGGUGUUUUCUGACUUUGCACUUUUGGAAACCUAGUUUGUGUAAGUGUACUUUUUAGUCUCCUGUAAUGCUUGAAGGCUG